GGGAGGGUGCGGGGUCGCGGGCGCGUGCUGGGGGCGGAAGGCGGCUCCCCGCGCUGCACCUGUCGGCGCCACUGGGGAGAGCCGGAUCGUUGCGAGCCGAAAGGAGCCCAGAAGGGUUGGAGAAGCGGAGGGAAAGCCGCUCCAUCUGCAUCUCUGCUUCUUAAAAAGUUAUUCUCAUUAUCCACUACUCCAGGAUUAAUUACCAAUCCCGAGUGACUGACAACUACAGGACUAAACCCAAGCCCUUUGUUGCUGAUCUUCAUACUGAGAUGAGCCUUUCUGACUGUACUUUUAGGAGAGAUUAGCCACCAGAGUCUCACAAGAAGGAAUGAGAAUACUAUGGCUCUAUCCAGGUUAGGUUCAGACUUGAAGUUGACAAAUGGCAGUCCUGAAAGCAGACGCAAGUUUCAUUCUCCUAAACAAGGAAAUCAAAUGAUAUGAUCCACGUAAAACCAAGCUGAUAAUAGCCCAAGCUAAGAUUUUAAAGAAACAUCACUCCAGCAAUUAAAGGGGCGCCUGGGUGGCUCAGUCAGAUGGGGAGCUCUGGCAGAAUGUUCUGGCCUGUGUGCAAUGACUGAAUUCUCUCUGCCAAGGGAUAAAGCUAAAAUCUGCUUUCUUGGAAACCAGCUAAUGUCUUUAAGAAGCAUGACCCCGGUUAGGGAGAGAUUGGGAACUUUGAAUAAAGCGGAGGACUUCUGCUCAGUCCCAGAAACAGAUGGCACAUUCCACCCUAGAAGUGAGUAUGGGAGAAAAGAGAGGAAAAGGGAAGAACAGAACCAGGAGGAGAUGGGACGCUUCAGAACACACAGGACAGAACACAAGAGACCUUUGUCCAGGAGCUGAGUAGGAGGUAGAAACUAAACUCACCUCCAAAGAAACCAGGAUAAGAAAAAGGCAGAAGAGUACCGAGUACCGCAGCUGGGCUGACACAGAGGGUAGAACAGGACUGAGGGCUAAGCCUGAAGAGUAUUGAGCAGCACUAGCCUGGAAACUUGUAAGACUCAGAGCAAAAUGGCAAACUGUGACAUUUCUUGUUUGGAGGUACUCAGCUCUUGCAAAUCCAUCCCUCUUUCCUCAACUCCAUUCCCAGUUUGUGGCAAUUCUUAGAACUCUUCUCCAGUGCAAAAGCAGUUUUGGCCACCUAACUGUCUGCCAGUCACAUUUUCCAUAUGUGAGUUCCCUUAGUGCUCACAACAACCCUGCAAGGUAAGUUUCACGAUCCCCAUUUCACAGACGGGUACAUUGAAUUUGGGAGUAGUGGAGCCAGGUCUGUAUCGGUUGCCAGAGCCCUCAUGGAUCCCACUCUGCCAAGCUGCCUUUGAUUUGAAGUCAAAUCAGAUCAAAAUGAUGUCAAGGUAGUAGAGACUUCUUAAGCCCUCCAAGGAGCAGUCAGGAGCAGACCAGUGAAGGAACAAUGAACAGAGAUCUCUAAAUCUCUGAAUGUAGUAUUUGAAAAUUCUGAAAUUGUUAGGAUUGCUAGGCCUCCCUGCAGUCUGAGAUCCCAGUGCAGACUUGAUGCCCUCUAGUGGAAGUUUUCUGCAUUCACACAGCCUCUCUGGCUUCAACCCCAAAUCGCUGCGAGGGAGGCCCUCAUUCAAUCACUGGAGAGCAUCCCAAAAGAACAGUCAGCUGAAAGAUACAUGUUUCUAUGUCAGUGUCCAUGGGGGACAGAGGAAAGACUAUAGGGUGGAGGGGAGAUGUACUGAGCACUUGGUUCAGAAGGAACUCUAAAGGAAGUCCUUGUUGGUAUAUAAAUGAACUCAGAUAUUUGUAUGUUAUUAAUAGGAGCUCAAUACACAUCACAUGGGACUUUGGUUUUUAGGGCUCUAGAGA